CUCGGCAUGAAGGCAUCAGAUGUGCUUCCACUUGAAAAAGCGUUGUUGUACCAGCAUAUAUCCCGCCUGAAUUUUUCUCCUGGGUAAAAUCUUAUAAAUGUGUGUAUCGUGCAUAAUGAGGAUUGGAGGUUAGCUGCUUCCAGUGAAUUCCCUUUCAAAGUGUAAGGAAGAUGCAGAGCAGCAAGGAGGAGAAAUCCAUUGGUAUUUGAGCUCUGUAGGAUGAAGAGGUUUGCUGCUGGGGGAAGAUCAAGAGGAGGCAGUAGGAAUAUUUUGGGCACUUCUGAAGGAGAGAUGGAGACCAUCUGGUAGAGAGGAUGCUUAAAGGAAAAGUGCCAGGACAGAGAUAAAAGUAAAGGGAAAGGAAAUAGUGACUGAGUAACAUCAAAGAGUGAGGCUGACUAUAGAGCAAAAAGGAAGACAUAGCAGUGACCCAACAUAGGCAAAUCAUAAUACAAAUGGUGGCACUGGGCGACGAAUCCAUAUGAAUCGGUGAAGGCUCGGGGGAAAAGCUCAGCAUUUUAAUUUCAGGAAAGUCUACAGGAAAGUGGUGUUGACAUCUUUGGAAGGCUUAUAAUUUAAAACUGAUGCAGUAAGCAGGGUUCCCGCUGCUUCAGAAAUACUGUCCUGGAGUCUAAUCCAGAUACUGUAACUACAGCAGAAUUUUAAAUGGAGAGAUGCCAAGAAGAAUGUUUCUUCCCUCAUCGGCAUCAGCAUCUUUUCAUUUGAAUGACUUUUAGGGCAUUAGAUGUUUCCGUUGAACUGCUUUCUAAGGCUCGUGUCCUGAAGCAUUGGUUGGUGUGUGGUCCUUCCCUGUGUUGAGCUGGAGCCGAUCUCAUGUAAAGAAAGGAAGAUGCUGGUUUUGCUUUUCUCCUGCUGAAGGAGAAUAACUUUGGGCCAGUCCCUUUCUCCUGCCAAAGUCUGAAAAACUUUUCUAUCAUUGGAAUUCCACUGAGAGUGGAGCAGUGGUAAGCCCCGUGGCUUCUAUGGGUAGAGCAGUACAGGCUAAGAGAGUCUGAUCAUCUCUUGUGCUUUGUUUUACACCCAACCCUAAACAUGGUGAGUCAGGACAGGCGAUGGGCCUAAUUAUAAAGACUGUCUGUGCUCCUGCCUCUCUUACUCCUUCCCAUCUGUAUUUAGGAGGACUUUCUGCAUCCUAGGGGAACCGUGCUUUAGGAGGAUUUGAGAUCAAGGCCUGAAAUAAUCUCAUGGUUUUCUUCCUGCCUGCCUUUCUUUCCUUCUUAACAAAACAGGUGUGUUACUUUUUUUACUGAAGUCGGUCCAGGGAAAGGAAAAGAAGAAAGUACUUCCAGAGGGUAAUUAGUCCCAUCUUAAAACAAGUGUGUAAGACAGGUAGGAUAAGUCUCUCUCUCUGAAAGUGCCAAUCUGUCACCACUAUCUAUAGAAGGAGCCUUCACGAGUAGCUUAGAGUAGGUGUUUGACUUUUACACAGUUAAAUUUAGAGGAGAUGAUUGCCACUUUUUAAGUCAGUCAAAGUGCUUGUUUAUAAUUGAUUAACCAUUAUAGACUGAAGAGUUGUGAGAGAGAACAAAAGUAAAAAUAUAAUGCCAUUGAUAGAGAUAUCGUGUAAUACGGAAUAGCAGUAACAGCAAUUGCAGAUGGUUAACAUUUUCAUUCCCCAUUGUUUUUAUUUUACUGUUAAAUCUUCCCAGAUUUUAGGUCUUGUUUGAUCCUGUAGAAGGAAAAAAUUUCCCCUGCUUUAGUGUAAGCAAAAAACUGCUGAAAUAUUUGUAGGAUUAAGAAGUGAUUUGUCCUGAAAAUGUCAAUUCUUAUAUGUAGGGUCAUUAAUCCAUAAAAUGAAUUUGCAAACAUUUCUAAGUUCCCUUUCGUGUUGUUGGUGUUUUACUUGACAUGCUUCUGACCGCUCUCUCAAUGAAGGCUGCACUCAGAAGAUCCUGCAAGGCGUACACUGACAGUGUGUGGGACUUGGUUUUGCAUGUGUCUUGACCUGGCAUAUACAGUCUGUUACAAUGAAAUAAACUCACUUGUCAUUUAAGAGUAUUAAUCAUAUUUCAGGCUGUUGCCCAAGAAUUUCAUUGUGUACAAUGCUUUCACCAGCCAGAACCAUACUGCAGAAAGUAAAUAGAUAAAAUCACUUUCUCUAGUAAAAAUAAUUCUUGACUACAGCCUCGCUUGCAGAGUAGAUAAUGCUUGUAGAAAUGGCAGAUGCUCUGAAGGUUUGGAGUAUUGUGACAAUAAGAAUUUUAAACAAAGUUGGAAAAAGCAGAUGGUAUAUAUGGACGGGAAAUCCUGUGGUAGUUUUGAUUUUAUGCAAGGAAAAGAAGGAGUUCCUUAGGUCCAUAAAUCUGUUUGUUUGCAGUACUCAAACAGAGAUUUUCAUGAUCUUAGCUUUCCUUUCUUCAAAAUGUUGCUUUCAAGUACAGAUGGGCCUAUAUACCACAAGUUUGGGAUCCAGAUUGGGGCUUGGACCUGACAUUCAUCAGAGCGUAAGCAUAUUUGAACCUAGCAUUUGAGGUCAGCCUCUUGUGGAGUUAACCACCUACUGAUUGAGUAGAUCUCUCCUAUAUGUCGAGGCAUAGGUGUAGAAAGUACAAUGAUUUUAUUUAACUUGAUCUGUAAGGUAUUUAAAUUUAAUUCGGAAGACUUCUCAUGAAGCAGGAGGCUGUAUUUAUAAUUAUUAUUGUGUCUGAAGGGUGAAAUUACAUAUGACAAUUAAAUAUGGUGGAUAUUAUAAUAGGAUACAUACUUAAAGUGGUUUCCAAUCUAAAUGUGUUUGAAGUCAAUAGGAGUACCUACGGCAAAGUAUUCGGAUCCUGAUUUAUAAUCUACCACUUUUACCCCAGUAUGGUUAUUUAUGGAUAAAUUGACCUGUUCCUAGAAUAGAAUAUGAUAUGUUAGUAAAACUGUACGCCUAGGUGUGGAAAGACAAUUAGCCUAUAAACACACUGACUUCCUCUUUAGGUUGAGAACACCUCAUAUUUCCAAGACUAAUGGUUUCUAAUCUGUUUUUAAAUGUUCCAUUUGGAUAGUGAAGGCGUAACUAUCAAAACACUGUAAAAUCAUAAUGCCUGUGCAGCUAUAAAUUACUGUUUUCAAAAUGAGCUGGAGGUCUCCAACUUAUUCCCAAGUGCAGAAAAGUUAGAUAACAUAAAACUGCUCAGAAAUGACUAGAAGCAACUUUUCUGGCUUUUUCCAAAUGCUAGGAAAUCGUGGAUCUGCCCACUAACUCCCUAGCAAUGCCCAUAUGGAUAGCAAUAAAGCUAGUCCCAUAAAGAAUACUUGAAUUGAUCAAAAGCAUUUCAGAUUAGAGAUCAACAGAAAGAGCUGUGUUGCUUUUUGUUUGUUUGUUUAUUUAUUUAUAUCCUGGAAAUCUCUCUGAUACGAAAAAUAUCUGACUUAUUUUUCAUUCAUCAAAUUGUGGACUGCUUCAUAUGAGAUACGAACUGCAUGACCUGCUGAUGGCGAAGUGCUGCUUCCAUGGAAGAUGCAGCUUUAAACAAUAAGAGAAAGCAUCAACCCUCUCCUGCCAUAUUUUGAACUUUGGAGUGUGCACAAGGAUGGAAAAAUACAGAAGGAUGGAAAAACACAAGGAGUGGUGGGACACAACGCAAAGUGAGUCUGAGCUGCCUUUAACUUCAGCCUUUGCACUGUGCCAAUACACCAGGAAGAUGCAGUUUAUUCUACCAGGAAUGCUGAUAUCGCAAACACCUAUUUAAACACAGAAGUGUUGGAGGUUUGAACAUCUUUUAUGAAUACUACACCACUGUUUUAAGAAAAGACAAAUACAAGGUAAGCUUUGAGUUGGCCAUUAGAGAUGUAAUUAAACAAAGAACAUGAGUUGCAGUUACUUCUGCAGCAGCACAUUGCCUGAACCAAUGAACGUUUGUGAUUUUAAAGCAGUGUUAAUCUCAGGCAGUGAGUCCUGAAUAAUGUUUAUUAACUAUAUUUUAAUGACUUGUCGGUUUUCUAAAACAUGCUGAAGUAUUUUAGAAAUCACUUAGUAAAUGUAGUUUUAAU
rnacentral:lncRNA from 1 species